ensembl:snoRNA SNORD63 Small nucleolar RNA SNORD63
GUGCAGUGAUGCAUUUUAUUCAACACAUCAUUCUCAAAGUACAGAAGUGUGGAAAACUUAAUGACUGAGCACA